CCGCCGCUAGCCGGCAGAGCGCCGAGCGAGCGCGCAUCACAUAGUGGCGCGGGCCCACCCGGCCUUUGUGCCGCGUGACCGCCCAACCGACCGGGGGUGGGGGUGGGGGAUCGACGGUUAUUGUUCCCCGAGGGGAGGGACAUGCUCAGACUCGGGGUCCACGCUGGCCGCCUCCCCAGAGCGUCCCCAGGUUCGAGGACGGCUGUGGGCUUCCUUUGUGUGUUCUCUGCCUGCCGCAGGCGUCGGUGCUGCCCCCAGGGGCGGCAGACGGGGGUGAGGGAGGUUGGUGCCAGCUCUGCCGCUGCCUCGAGCUCAGCUCGUCCGACCCAGUUUCCAGCUUGGCCCUUCCUGAGGAGGGUGGGGAGGGACGUGGUGUUUGUAGGGCAGCCUUUGAACAAUAGAACCAUCAAAAGACCUUCUCCCCGUCUGCUCCUCCAGAAAGGCCCUGGCCCAACAGGUCCUCUUAGCCUCGUUUUAUGCCUCCUUCCUCAGCACAAACAUUUCAUCUCUAUCAAGAUAUCGUUCUUCCAUAAAAAUAAUCCAGACUAGCUAUAGGAACCACUCAAGAUAUUUUGCCACAAGAUCUAGGACAAGAGGACUCACGGAGUAUCUCCCACCUUGUGGGUCUCUUGGGGUCCCUUCACCUGCUUCUGCUCCUGAAGAUGGUUGGACAUCCAUCCACCUUGCCUCUUCUGGCUGGACCUGGCCUGAAACUGAGUCUUUUGGAUUGUCUUUCUACUUUUCCAACUUGCCAAAUUUCUGAAAGAAGGACCAAAGUAAAGCCAAGAACUCCCAGAUGAAGAGGACCUUCCUGGAUUUGUAACAGGGAUUAACCAAUUCUUGAUUUCAGGAGGAAGUUUCAGCUAAUUCUCAGGAUAAAGUCAAAACAGGCCU